UUUCCGUAGGUGAACCUGCGGAAGGAUCAUUAACACGUAUCCACGUAUCAAACCAAUCGUUGAAUCGUACGCCCUCCGAGCUAAAGGAAGUUCGAGUAUGGCGGGGAGGAUUCCGCGAGGAGUUCCUCUACGCUCGCUCUUCCGACUCGGUUGGUGACGCCAUGUUUCUUUCUUCUCUCUCUUUUAACCCCAAUGAACUGUUGUUCUAAUGUUUAUUGUUUUUUUCGUGUGUGUGUGUUUCUUUCUGAAACCGCCCUCGAAGAAAAAUUCUUUACGAAACUCAAAACAACUCUUAGCAACGGAUAUCUUGGUUUCC
rnacentral:misc_RNA from 1 species